AGAUGUAAGAUGGAGGAUGCCGCCUCCCAGGACUGAGCGUGGGGGGCGAGCACAAUCCACAACAGCCCAGGAGCAAGACAAGACAACAGGAUCCACACUACCUUUUCUUUGAAAAUGACCCCUAAGUGUAUUGGCCACCUAAGACAGACUGUUUCUCAGCCUCACUUGCUGCUAGGUGUGCCCACGAGAUUAAGUUCAAACAAAAGAGAAUCAAGCCCCAGAGUCAUGCACAGCUUUCAGAAAUGUUCUUAAACAGAAGAAGUAUGCCUUGCUUCCUUUCCUUCUCCAUACUGGCUGGAAUAUUGAUGUGAUGGCUGGAGCACAAACAGCUCUUGGAUCAUGAGAAAGAAACCACAUGCUGAAGACUGCAGAAUGAGAGAGAGCAACCUGGAUCUCUGAUAUUUUGGAGCAGCAGAUAAGCCCCAGAUCACUCACCUCUGGACUUUUAAUGUGAGAGAAAUAAGCUUUUCUAUCUUACUUAAGGAACUGUUACUUGGGUUCCCUGUUAUGUGCAGCCUAGCUAAUCCUAAGUGAUCAUCUAUGACAUAAUCAGGUGGAAAUGCCAUGUAGGGAACCGGACACAAGUCAGAGGUCUGCGGAGGACUUCCUUUCCGAGAGUUCCACUGCUGUCAUGCUUCCAGGUAAAAUCUACGGUGAAAAUCCUACUGUGCUGUUUUAUGCAAAGGAAAAGAGAAAAGGUUACUUGAUAAUUGGUGUUGCAUUUUGUACCUAAAAAUAUCAUCAGACACCACUCUUCUUUUGAAAAUAGGAAACAUCAUAAGUCCUGCUCUUCUCCAUGACUUCCUUAUAUGAAUCACUUCUGUUGUUCCUGUUAAGCAGUUUAUUUUGAUGAUGGCUGCAUGGUCAAUUAUAUUGGACCUCAGUAGUUCAGAGCUAGACUAAUAUUGCCUAAGCCUAAAAGCUCUUGGAGGAAAGAGUUUAGAAUUAUACCACAGUCUCAGAGAUAAGAUUCCAGAGACUUUAUCUCCCCAGGGGUGACCUCCCCACCUGCAGCACUGUCACCACUAGACCCAGACACAGCUGGCUUAUCUGCAGAGGACCCACUUUUACAGGAGCAGCUGGCUUCAGCAGAUAAAGAAGCUGCUUGGGGGCAAGGCUAGAGCUAUAGACAACUUCUCUAUCAACUCACAGGGGAAUCACUGGAACUCACUGUUUCCAACUACUUUACAACAAACAUAACAUAAAGCAUGAAGCAGGCUCAGGUACUAAUUUUUAAAAGUGAUAGAGGUGGUAGAGAAUAGGUAGGGGAAGAGAUAUGAGAGAAGCCAAAUAAUGUCCCAGUGGCAUGUGGACCCCACGGCUCCACUAGGGCAGAUCCCCUAUGCUAUGAUUCAGUGAGAUGGGGCAGUGGGGUAAGGAUGCCUGGAGAGACCUACCCAGGAUAAUGAGGGCAACUGCUGGCCUGUUCCAUGAGAAAGAUACUUGAGGCUUCCUACAGUAGGGAGAGUCACACCAGGAGGGCCAUAGCAAAAAACCUUUGACAGCAGCUGCCUCAUCCAGAUACGCCAACAUGAGAGAAGUAGAGAAGAGAAGCAUCAUUGCCCAGACAAAAAAAUGAUGCUUGCUGGCCACAAUGUUGUAUCUAUCUCUGUUCAAGAAAGGUGUGAGGGUGGGGAGAAGUCUGUAUUUCUUUGGAAUUUAAUUUAUAUCCAGCAACUGACAGGUAAAUAAGAUGUAGUACAUCCAUAUAAUAGAAUAUUUGGCCAUAGAAAAGAAUGAAGUACUGACACGUGCUACAACAUGAAUGAAUCUUGAAGACAUUACGCUAAGUAAAAGAAGCCAGACACAAAAGACUCCAUACUGUGUGGUUCCAUUUAUAUAAAAUGUCCAGGAUAGGGAAAUCCCUAGAUACAGAAGAUUAGUGGUUGCCCAGGGAUACACGGGAUGGGAGGCUUAGGGGUGAUGGCUAAAGAGUACGAGUGUUCUUUCUGGGGUGAUAAAAUGUUUUAAAAUUGAUUGUGGUGACAUACAACUCUGUAAAUAUACUAAAAAUUAUUCACUGUACCCUUUAAAUGAGUAAAUUGUCUGGCACACGAAGUACAUCCCAAUAAAGCUGUUACCAAAAAACCCACAAAAAUUGUA
ensembl:lncRNA novel transcript, antisense to TBC1D22B